rnacentral:tRNA from 1 species
GUUCCUGUAGUUGAUGGAUACAACGGUGGUUUUUCAGGCCGCAGGUCUUGGAGAGAAGCCAAGUAGGAACU